UCCUGGCUCAGAUUGAACGCUGGCGGCAGGCCUAACACAUGCAAGUCGAGCGGUAGAGAGGUGCUUGCAUCUCUUGAGAGCGGCGGACGGGUGAGUAAUGCCUAGGAAUCUGCCUGGUGGUGGGGGAGUAACGUUCGGAAACGGACGCUAAUACCGCAUACGUCCUACGGGACGAAAGCGGGGGGAUCUUCGGACCUCGCGCCAUUAGAUGAGCCUAGGUCGGAUUAGCUAGUUGGUGAGGUAAUGGCUCACCAAGGCGACGAUCCGUAACCUGGUCUGAGAGGAUGAUCAGUCACACUGGAACUGAGACACGGUCCAGACUCCUACGGGAGGCAGCAGUGGGGAAUAUUGGACAAUGGGCGAAAGCCUGAUCCAGCCAUCGCCGCGUGUGUGAAGAAGGUCUUCGGAUUGUAAAGCACUUUAAGUUGGGAGGAAGGGUAGUAACCUAAUACGUUGCUACUUUGACGUUACCGACAGAAUAAGCACCGGCUAACUUCGUG
rnacentral:rRNA from 1 species